AGAAAUCCACAGAUUUCAGCACUCUGACCUGAGCCGAAUCAGCUCCUUUGAGUCGCAGGACAUUCUGCUGGGUCUCUCAUGAAUCAGAAGGCAGCUGUGUCAUCCUGCCUGGCAUAGGCGGGUGUUUUCAAGGGUUGCUUGGCUCAGAGGCACAGUGCUGCCCUUGGUCUGUCCUUUACUUCAAUCCAUCCUCCUGGCUCCACCUCAAGGAUUCUGGGUAUCUGGGCUUCCUCAACCCCCCACCUCCAUAUGGAGAGGAAGAGAGGACUCAGAAUCUGAAUGCAGGUGUAGGUCUCUGAGCACCAACCACACCGUGCUAGUGACUGUCACCCACACCGGGCUGCAUGCUGCAUGACUUUUCGUAUCCUUCCACCAGUAAUGGGAUGCUCCUCACCCUUGCUCUGUGUUCUGUGCCCCUGUUUAUCCACUCUUUCAUGUGAUCUCAAGUAAAAGUUCUCUGCCUGAUGUACACAGGGCCAAUGAGGCUCUGGCACUGGUUUUGUGAAAAGAAAGAGCUUAUCACAAGGACAACCUGCAGAGAACCAGAGCAGAACCUCAAGUCCUCCUCUGUGGGUUGGCAGCAGGGAUCUACAGGAAAGGAGAGGGGAAAGCUGUUUGUAGGUUGGAUGACAAGAGGGGUAGCCCUGGGGCGCUUCCAUGCAGGCAUAGAUGCCAUCCUGCUUCUUCACAGGGGGAGUACUUCUUUUCAGGACAAGCACACAGCUUGGUAGAUCUGAGCAGGAGAUUUUGAGCGUCAGACAUCAAAAGACCAUGGACCAGAAAAGCUGGCUUCUGUGCAGGUCUGUUAACAUCUGCACGUGGAUUCUGGAGGCAAGUUUCUGAAAAACAGCUUAAGUACGUUGUUAUUUAAAAAAUUCACUCGAGGGUGUGUUCAGGCCUAAGUGGGUUUCAUGUGGAUAUGAACCAGGCAGCCCUCUCCAAACAUUUGAAUUCCUUGGUCAAUUGUAUUUUGUUUCAGGAUCUCUUACGAUAUUGCACACACAUCUUUCCACUUUUUCCCCCAAAUAUUUCACUUCCUCUGGAAUCAUGAAACACUUUGAAAGUUGGAUAUGCAUUUUACGUACAGAUUCCUAUGGGGAGAGUGACCGCAUUCACAGUGUUCUGCCUCUCCCUUCCCCUCCCUUGAAUUCUGUUCCCUCCUGAUGUGUCCUGGGAGACACCUCGCUGUUCCCCUGGCUCGAAGUAAUCUUAUUUUCAGGUGCAUUAUACGAUCUUGGUUUCUGUGCCUAAGACGGACCUUUUCUCAUUUCUCUCUGACAAGUGUUCUGGGGAGGUGAAUGACUUUUUCCCCCCUUAUCUGCAGUGAGCUCGUCUUUUUGGCAAACUCAUAAUCAUUCCUGUAGAAAUUCCAGGAGACAACCUGCCCAUCACUGGAGCUUCCUCUGACCGAAGGCUGCCAGACACCUGCCUGAAGCUCUGGAAACACAAACCAGUGGCCAGGGGAUGGCAGAUGCCAGCCCCACGCAAAGCUGAGGCUGGGCUGGUAAAACAGCCAGGCGAAGGAGGCCUCAGCAGGCCUUGCAGCCACCGUCCCCUCCUCCCCACUUGGCGUAUCCAGGGACAGCCCACCAUGUCCGCCUCCUGAGCCAUUCCAUGCAUCUGCCAUGGGGAUCUCCGAAACAGAUCCUGUCUCCUGGAAAGGAAAUGAUUGAUGUUUGACCAAAGUUCCAAGUCAAGAACGAGUCACUGGAGCUAAUUAGAGCCAACAUCAACCAGGUCCCUCUGCAGACCAGCCAAGCACCUCCAGACGAGUCCAGACUUUGAAAAGAAAGAAUUUCAACAGAGUUCUGAAAACACAUACACAUACAUAAUCUCUUCCCACCAUGAGGACCCCUUGAGAGUCUGAAGAAUAUUGAAAAGAUAAUAGAAAUCACUGUACUUUCCUUCCUUGAAAAUGAUGUGAUGGCUGGAGCUGCAGCGGCACCUCUGUGGCUAUGAGGAGCAGGCCAAAAGGAUUGCUAGGAGGACUUUGCUGGUGUCACUGAGCUGCAGAGCAGCCCCAGGGAGUGAAGUCGUGAUCAGACAGGGCUGCCUGCCUGCUCUUGGUCCUCCUCAAGGGCACAGCCAGGCCCAGGGGACCUGCUCCGACUCCCUGGCAGCUGUGAGACCCUGGCCCGUUAUUCACAGGCUCUGUGCCCACUUCCCUCCCUUGAGAACUGGGGAGGACCCAGAAAGGGUCCGAUGAGGUCGUCACCAGAAGCCUCCAGAAUUCCCUCAAGGACGAUCGGGACCCUGAUUUUCAAGAGUGCACAUUCCCAGAAGCAACAGCCUUCAUGUCCACGCCUUUUGAUGUCACAAGCUCAAAAUCCCCACACAGAGCAUGAUAACCAAAACCAUGUGAUCUGUAAAGAGACAUGAUGACCAUCUACACCUGCGCAAAAGAACCCGAAAACUCCCCUUUUCAACACCCACCCGACAAGCAGCUUCUCCCUCGCCCCUUCCUAUAAAUCUGCAGCUACCACGUAAUCAGGAGACAGAUUUGAGCUCAGUUGGACACAAAAAUCAAGCUCUUUCUUUUCACAAAACCCAGUGUCAGGGCACCCUGGCUCCAUCACGUGGAGGUGAUGAGAACAUUGGAAAGAAUCAUAACUGUGGUUGACUAAAGCACAUGCAAUUUAUAAAAAUUCACAACCCCAUAAAAAUGGUCAAAGAAGAGAGUGAGGAAAGUGACCUCUCUGCUUAUUAGAAAGGAUUUGCAGAUCAUACAGAUGAAGAAAUUCGUGGAUCGAGGUGUGUGGGAAGGGGCAGGACCUUCCAUGCCCUCUGGGCUCUGCCUUCUAGGAAUCUCCAUCUGUACAGCUAGUUAUUCAGAAGCUCCCAAACCUAGUCCUGGGCCAUGUUUAUGAAGGCUUCAUUAUCUAGACAUGAUUGAUUACAUCACUGGCCAAUGGGAUCAACCUUACCCUGAGCCCUGCCCCUUCCCUGAAGGUUGGGGGCAGGGACGGAAGUCCUACCCCAUAACCCUCCCUGGUCUUUCUGGGAUGACCCCCUGGCCAAGGCUACCCAGGGGCUGCCAGCUAUCAGUUAUCUCAUUAGCAAAUGGAUAGAUGCUGUCACUUCGGAGAGUCUAAGGAUCUUGAGAGUUGUAUGCCCUGAAAUAGAAACAUAAAAUAGCAUUUCCCAGCAUCACUUAUCCCCUAACAAAAUAACCAACUCAAGUCUUCUUCAUCCAGGGAUGCUAAGGUGGUGGAUCAGGUGCUGGAUAUUCUCAGGUUGCAGAGUUCCUCCCAGCACCAGGGAAUACACACUUUGGCCCAGGAGGUGGGCCACAGUGAGAGAUGGGAUGUGACCCAGGACCACAAUCCUGGUGUCUUCAAUAUGUCAAUGCCAUGAGAAAGAGAGACGGAAGGAGUGACUUAGCUUGAAAGACAUAUGAAAAUAUAAAACCCAAAGUUACAUCUCUGGUUUGCAGGAGCCACACUUAAAGCCAUCUCAGGGACAUUAGAUUUUUGUGUGGAUAUUAGAUAAUAUUAAAUGAUUGCUGGUUUUCUUAGCUAUAAAAAACUAGAUUGAAAUUGUAUGAGACAAUAUCUUUAAUUUUAUAGGAGAAAAGAAAAGUAAUUGGGGUUAAAUGCCACAAUGUGUGUCAUUUUUUUAAAACAAUACUGCAGCAAAAAUGAUACUUAUAAUCAAUAUAGGUAAAUGGUAAUCAUGAAAGCUAGGGCACAGGUUUACACAUGUUCACAGUCACUCUACUUUUCUUGUGGCUGAAAAUUUCAUGAUGAGAAAAGAAUAAGAAAGACCAGUGGCUCCACAGCAGCACAUUAGAAAAAGGCCACAUCCAGGGCAGAUCUUUUCUGGUGUCUCUACUGAAGGACCAAAGGGAAGGUGGGCAACCAGGCCACUGCAAGCCACUGUCAUGCCUGACCUGAGUGAGAGCCUCUCAGCAAACACCACCCUCAAAAACAGCAAGAAAACACUAAGGGCCAUGCUGUCCUCAGCAAACAGAACAGAGAGCCAUACAGAAAAUUUGGGACAAGACAUCCCAUCUCCCCAGUACCAAGAAACCUGACAUCUACACACCUGCACUGAGCAUCCUGAGAUCCUCAAACAAAACCAUUCCACCCCAGACUCCUUAGGGCAGCACCCCCUUACCCCAAACCCUAUAAAAAUUUUGCUUCUUCUCCAGCCAAUUGCUGAUAUCUUUCUCAAUCUCAGCCU